UCGUAUGGGUGAACAAAGAAAGUGGUAUCUUGAGGGGGAAUCUACUCUUGGUGAAGAUGCUGUGAA
rnacentral:pre_miRNA from 1 species